rnacentral:rRNA from 1 species
CAGCGCCCCGAGUGGCAAUCACGAUUAUUGGGCCUAAAGCGUUCGUAGCCGGUUUGGUAAAUCCUUUGUGAAAUCGUCAUGCUUAACAUGACGGCGUGCAGGGGAGACUGCUAGACUAGGGACCGGGAGGAGUCAGAGGUAUGCCUUGGGGACUGGUAAAAUGGUAUAAUCCAAGGUAGACCGCCGAUGGCGAAGGCAUCUGACUAGAACGGAUCCGACGGUGAGGAACGAAAGCCAGGGGAGCGAACCGGAUUAGAUACCCGAGUAGUCC